rnacentral:lncRNA from 1 species
AAAUACGACGCUCCAAACAAAGAUGGCGGAUUUUUAAGGAGUGAGAAUUUUCGAAAUAUAUAAUGUAAGUACACUACAGUACGUUAUUGUGCUUUCUAUAAAGUUUGAUAUACAGUAAAUAUGUGAAUUUAGCCUUAGACGCUUCGUAAAACAUUUUGAAAUGUUCAUCAAACUUGACUGAAUACUAAUAGAAUAUAAUUAUUAGCAAAAAUAGCUCAUUUUCAAACCGCGAUAUAAACUCUUCGGUUUUAUGGAGUAAAUUCAUGUUUUAAAGAGUAUUACAUUCCUGAAUUUAUUCAUGUGAUUUUAUUGUAGUUUCCUUGUAAAAAGUACAAUUUACUUAGAAGUAGAACUGAAUAUUUCAAUGCCACUUAAUUCCAGAGUGCAUUCCAUGAACGCUUUGUGGAAGAUCUUCGGCGUGAGUUUUGAAUUGUUGGCGCACAAUCACAUCGACGUUGGCGCACAAGUUUUGAGUUUUGGUGGUUGGCGCAGCAUCAAAUGUUUAAGCGAGACUUUGAGUAUUAAUAAUCUCCUGGUGAUUGGAUUGGCCUCUAUAAUUCUUUAAGUUUAGGGACUCGAGAAAUUUGUGUUCCUGGUCAGUGUAAUAUUACUAAAUGGUGGUUAUAACUUGUGAUACAACAGUAACAGCACUCAUCAUUGUUCAUCAGCAAAACAUCUUAUUCAUCAACUACACGCCUUUUUAGCAAGUUUUAAUUUUGAAAAACUAACUAUUACUGAAAAAUCACGGUGCCCACGAUCAGCCGGCACACAAGUUGACCUCACUUGGCGCACGGCAACACUACCUCAGAUUAUCUUCGGCGUGAAGUUUACACCGAAUGCACCCUGGACUUAAUUGAAUUUGAAGGUCAUGUUCAUUGACCCAAAACAUGCAUAAAUACAAAUGGGAAUAUAUAUAUAUAUAUAUAUACAAAAUUAUUCAAGACUUCUUUUAUUAAAUUACUAAACAAAAAGGUUAUCAAAACAUACCUUUGAGAAAACGAGAUCUUCACAGCAAAAAUCGCAAUAUAUUUCAACAGUUCUUAAUCGAAGUUGAACAGCACGUUGAGAAUACAUAUCUUGAUAUUUAUUAUAUACUAGGAAGACCCUCUUCUCUGAUUCCAGAGGUUGCAAGAUAGAGGUUGAAAAAUAUUUGUUUCAAUCGGGUUAGAACAAAACUUUUGAUUUGGUUCGAACUGUGACUAGGAUUGAAACAAUCUAGUCCUAAGGGGGAGAGUGAAAAUAAAAAAAGUAUAACGAAAGUAAAUAGUAAAUUAGAUAAUUAAAUUAUCAAUUAGAUAAUAAAUUUAUUAACAAGUUAAAUGUAGAUGACCAUAAAAUACAAAUUAGUUGCCACUGAAAAUUAACUUAAUACAUUGUCAUUGAAUUAUAAAUCAUCAAAAAAGAUUACAUAUAUAUAUAAUUGGAAAAAAAUUACAUAUAAAUCAAAAUGUCAAAUAUAUACAAAUCUACAUUUCAGAUCAAGAGCCUGCAUCGAUGACUAAUGAAUUUGAAUAUCUGUGUCUCAAAUCGUGACGCGAAAUUCUCAUUGGUCAGAUGCUCUCUCCUCCGCAGAGGCUUUAGUUUUCUUAGGAUUUAAUAUUACGAUGAGAUACAUUUCACUACACUUUACAUGGCGGAUCUUGGAACACGAGCGUAGCCGCUGGGCGAAGGAGCGCAGGCGGCAAAGGGGUCAGAUGCUAUAAUUUAUAUGUUUCCGCUGAGCUCUAUAUAUGUCAACUGCUGAAGCACUAUGCAUAAAAAAACACAUUAACUGAUCAAAUUGGUCUUGGCCAUCUUAUCUUAAAGCACAAAAUGUUCUCUUUUGAGAAAACAGUAUUUAAAACAUUUAAACUUUUGCUUGAAUAUCUUAUAUUUCGAACGGUCUAAAUUUAGUUUGCAUGAAAGUUGUAAACAACACCAUAUAAGGAUAGACAUUCCAUAUUUGGAAAAACGAACGUUACGGGGCAGAUAUUCAAAUUCAUUAGUCAUCAAUGCAGGCUCUCAAUUCAGCUUCAGAGCCUGUUCGCAGGCUAAGUCCUUACUAUAUUCUCAGCCCAGAAAAGCGUUCAAUCACCUGUGUGCAGCGACCCUAGUAGCGUAGCCUAAGUAAAAUUGUGUGCUUAUAAUUAUAUUUUAGAAGUCACUUUUUGAGUUAAUUCCAAUGGUUAUUUGGAUAUCUUAUCUUACACUGUAGCAUGUCACGUACGGAUUUGAAAACAUUACAUCGGAUAAUUUAAGAUCCGUUGUUGGCCGUUUGCAAAUUGUCGCGUUCAACACGAAAACCAUCGUUGCUCGAACUUAGAAAUUUUAACUCAAUUGUAUUGACGACGGCAGGCGAUGCAUUACUGGAUGGAGCCAAGUUGUUUGUAUGAAAUUAGACGUUAUAGUACCCGGGGAUAUAUACGGAUUUUCCGUACAUUGUUGGACGAAGCGUUUCCGUUGUUCUUUUUUCCAAAAAGAUUUCGCAGUUGUCGUCUUGUUUCAGCUGGUAGAAUGCCAAACAAUAUGAAUACAAAAAGUCCUUGCAGGGUGUUAGAAAUGCAGAACAAAUAUUGAAAUGCUAGUUUAGCGUCGCCAAUCGCAAGAAUGCCAAAGAGCCAGGUUAAACCAAGCAGUACCAUAAUCGCAAGCGCUCGCCGAGCUUGUUGAUAACCCGAUACUUUUUGGAUAGAGGUAACUUUGGCACCUGAAGUAAGUAAUGAUCUGAUAAUGAAGCAGAAAGCCACGAUAUUACCAAGGAUGAUUAAAGUAACUGGAGUGAAAAAUGCCACAAUGAAUGGUACGCCGUGUAGUCGACAACUGAAAGAAAUACACAUUUCUUCAAUUAGGUUUCCAGAUACCCACAAUACAUAUACGUGUUUAUUAAGGUCCAUACACACCGGACGCGAUUCGACAACGCGACGCGAUUUUUCGAUUUUUACUGAAC